UGAGGCGUGGCUUCCGGAGCUAACGCGUUAAGUCGACCGCCUGGGGAGUACGGCCGCAAGGUUAAAACUCAAAUGAAUUGACGGGGGCCCGCACAAGCGGUGGAGCAUGUGGUUUAAUUCGAUGCAACGCGAAGAACCUUACCUGGUCUUGACAUCCAGAGAAUCCUGCAGAGAUGCGGGAGUGCCUUCGGGAACUCUGAGACAGGUGCUGCAUGGCUGUCGUCAGCUCGUGUUGUGAAAUGUUGGGUUAAGUCCCGCAACGAGCGCAACCCUUAUCCUUUGUUGCCAGCACAUAAUGGUGGGAACUCAAAGGAGACUGCCGGUGAUAAACCGGAGGAAGGUGGGGAUGACGUCAAGUCAUCAUGGCCCUUACGACCAGGGCUACACACGUGCUACAAUGGCGCAUACAAAGAGAAGCGAACUCGCGAGAGCAAGCGGACCUCAUAAAGUGCGUCGUAGUCCGGAUUGGAGUCUGCAACUCGACUCCAUGAAGUCGGAAUCGCUAGUAAUCGUGGAUCAGAAUGCCACGGUGAAUACGUUCCCGGGCCUUGUACACACCGCCCGUCACACCAUGGGAGUGGGUUGCAAAAGAAGUAGGUAGCUUAACCUUCGGGAGGGCGCUUACCACUUUGUGAUUCAUGACUGGGGUGAAGUCG
rnacentral:rRNA from 1 species